UCUAUCUCCCAGUCUUCCAGCUGCCUAGUGGUAGCAGGUGGUGCUCUGAUUCCCCAAGCAGGAUAGUGUUAGUGGGAUCCAGCUGGGAGCCGAGCCUCCACCGCAGGAGGCAUCGAUGAGGCUGAAUGAGGUGGUAGGAGCUAGGGCUAGUUGGCACUCUGCUUCCUCCCAUCUGUUUUCCUGGUGUCAGAGGGGUGCAGCGGGGAGAGAAAGCUGCCUACCCUGCAGCAACAAAGAGCAUGGCGUGCCGAGCUUUGCCAUGUCCACACCCGGGAUCCGAACCAGUGAACCCCGGGCUGCCAAGAAGCAGAACUUGUGCACUUACCCGCAGCACCACUGGGCCGGCCCCUUGAGGUCAUUUGACUUGAGAGUCCACAACUCAGUUUCCUUCAAGACUCAGGAUUUCAGAUGGUAGUGGAAAGAUGAACUCCAUGAACCAUUCCUGCAAAUGGCUGAAAGCUGGCACAAGAAAGACCAAGUUUGCAAAACAAUUUUGUUGACAUCAUGGCAUUGAAGUCUUUCAAAAAUUUUGUGAAAGAAGAACAAUUACCCCCAGUUCGGAAAUUGGAAAACUGAACCUCAGAGAGGCUAAGUCCUGCGUCCAGAGCAAGAAUGUGAAUUCAUACCCAUAUCUGACACUCUUUCAACUGAACUACAGUUUGCUCAGUGAACAGUCUGGAGUUUAGUGUUUGGAGAUAAGGAUGAUAGGGAGAAGUGAGUGGAGGAAGUGACUCUUCAGCUGGGUAUCUUCAGAUUCAGUUGCCUCUUUGAAAUGCCAUUUUGCCUCUUUAAAAAGGGAAAUUCUGUGCUACCCUAAACAUUCUUUGAAUACAAAAUGCAAAUGACCAACCUUGUCCAAUGCUUUCAUUGUGCAGAUAAGGAACCAGAAGUCUAGAGAUAAUAAUAAGGAACAGCUAUCUUCUCACCUGUGUUGCUGCAUUCAACCUGAUGUGACACAAUGUGUCAUGUGGCCUCCUCAAAAUCCGCUGCAAAAUUCACUGGAUGCUCAUGAAAGAAGCAGAGUGAAAAAGACAAAUUAGGGGGCUGGCCCCGUGGCCGAGUGGUUAAGUUCGCACGCUCUGCUGCAGGUGGCCCAGUGUUUCGUUGGUUCGAAUCCUGGGCGCGGACAUGGCA
rnacentral:lncRNA from 1 species